CUCAAGGCCUAGGGAAGAGGUGUGGGUCUGCCCCUCCCUUCACCCUAUUGUCAUUAAAGAGGCUGCUUGUCCCUGUCUGGACUGGGCCAGCUUUGGACAUUACUGUCCUGCCUCAAGGGAACAUUUCAGGAUGCUGCUUGGAAGCCAUGCCCAUGUCACUUUUGGCUUUGGUCAACUCAGCUCUGCUGCUCUCCUCAUGAAGGAAAUAGGUCCUGUGAACAGGUUAUGGGAACAACACCCUGUGUCUCCUAUGGACUGAUCCUGCCUCCAGGAACCCACAGGUAUCCAGGGUGAUCCAUGUGGUACUCACUGGUCUGGGGAAUGCUGACCAUUGUUGUUUCUCCUUGCAGGGGUGGUCCAGGUCCAGCUUCCUUGUGUCUGUCUUGCAAAGCCUCACUUAUCUUUGGAGCCUGGAUAAAGCUCUGGAGAGUCUUGGCAUGGAUAUCAUUGCUGCUUCCACUUGUGACCUUUAGCAACACAUCCUGAUGGGAAUUGUUGUCCAAGCUGGAAAUCCUGUCUGCUCUGCUGCAGGCCUCCUGCUCCCCAAGCAGCUCGAGGUCUUUGGCCAAGGCAGUCAACCCUUCCUGCAGGGAAAUCACUCUUGUCCUGUGGCACGGGGCAGCCACCCCUGGCACAGGCUGCUCCACUCCCUGGGCUGGGCUGCUCCACUUUAACAUCCUUAAAAAUAUUUUAUAUUAAAAAAAAAAGGCAGCAACCCAGGGAGUGAGGAGACAAAAGAAGAGGAAGUCAGGAGUUAUCACAAGUAGCUCCAAAGGGAUUUUUUUUCCUGGCUUAGAAAGCAACUGUGCUGAAGCUCAACCUGGGUCAUACCUGGGAAGUGGAAAACCCUGAAAGCCAUUCCAGGUCCUGAGCUGAAUGCCAGGAGGGUCAAAGAACCCUGUAAAUAAUCCACUUCUCAAAUGUUGCCUUUGGUUAUGCUUGCACCACUGGAUGUGGCUGUGUUGCUUCCUGAGCACACAUUUUGAGGCCUUGGAAACUGAAAGUUGGAUGAUAUCCGCCAGGCAAGGGUUUUUUCAGGUCUCCGGGGAAAUAUCGACCAUGGCUUGGUCCAGAGGAGGGGAAGCAGCACAAGUUGUGCCAUGGUGAGUUUUUCUGGAGAAAGCUGGAUUCCUCGCUGCAAUUAGUCAAAUGCUGUGAUUCAGCCCUCUCCCAGUAAAUGAGGCAUCCAAAAGUAUGCAGGGAGUUUCUCUUCCUUGAAAUUCUGCUCCAGAGGGUACAUGUGGGCUGUAUAACACAAGUUUUCUGUCCUAGAGAUAAAAAUUGAACUUGAUUACCCCAAAAGCCUCCUUUGAUCACUUUUCUUAAAUGAACAUCCUGUGUGUAUCACCUUAUCUUCUUGUCCACCUUGCCCCAGGGUACAGUGGCAAACUGACUAUUUUCUAGCUGAUAUUCCAACUAUAUUUUCUGUGUAAAAUUCCAGCCAAGACUUCAUGUGUGCAUGUUUCUGUAGCUGGGGGGCGUGGGACAGGCUCUGCAGCCCAGCCCAGGCUUUGGAGACCCAGGAUCACUUCUGACCGUGCCAAAGGCAGUUUGAAUAUCAAAAUAAUGAACAAAUCAGAGGAAAUUACCAUGAGCAUGCCAGAAGCUUCCCUAUAACCUCAGCUGGGAAGACUUAGGAGAAGUUUUGUGUGCAUCUUUAGCAAGAUGAGGCUGAGGAGGAGACGUGGUGUUUUGGUUAGAAAUAUUAAUAAAAGGUGUUGUUUUCUCCUACAGACCUGACCUACUGCUCCAAUGACCCCGGUACUGGCACAUGCUGUGGUUUUAGCCAUGACUUACAAAAUUCUGCUCACCUGAAGCAUCAGGGAAGAAGAGACAGGGAACUGAGUGAUUGCAUGGAAAAGAUGCAGCCCGGUGGCACAAGUGUGAGGGGUCAAAGUGGGGCAGGGAAUCCCUGAUUCCUUUCUUCUCUGGAAUCCCUGAGCCCCCUUGUCCAUUAAAAAGUGGGAUCCGUG